UACGAAGGGGGCUAGCGUUGUUCGGAAUUACUGGGCGUAAAGCGCACGUAGGCGGAUUGUUAAGUCGGGGGUGAAAUCCCGGGGCUCAACCCCGGAACUGCCUUUGAUACUGGCAAUCUAGAGUCCGGAAGAGGUGAGUGGAAUUCCGAGUGUAGAGGUGAAAUUCGUAGAUAUUCGGAGGAACACCAGUGGCGAAGGCGGCUCACUGGUCCGGAACUGACGCUGAGGUGCGAAAGCGUGGGGAGCAAACAGG
rnacentral:rRNA from 1 species